CAAACGGGGUAAGAGCUGGGAAUACAGCUUGACCCGGGAGGAGAGACUUAUCCUGAGUGGAGGGUAGAAGACGAAAUAAUAUAUCAGAGUACAAGAAGAGACAGAGGGAGGAAAAGCACUUUGGCUCACUUCUCACCUAUACCUGACUCUUCAUAGCAAGUCUCCAGUCUUUUGGUUUUAUGACGGAAAGUGUGUCCCCCUGCAGUAGACCAGUAAGAAGUCCUCUUCAAUAUGAAUACAGAUAGCGGAGGAUGCUCUCGCAAAAGCUCGCACAUGCUCUCUCCCAUGAAGAGGGUCCAGAGCUCUCCAAAUCUAGGCUCAG